rnacentral:rRNA from 2 species
UACGGAGGGUGCAAGCGUUAAUCGGAAUUACUGGGCGUAAAGAGUGCGUAGGCGGUUUGAUAAGCGGAGUGUGAAAUCCCCGGGCUUAACCUGGGAACUGCAUUCCGAACUGUCAAGCUAGAGUAUGAUAGAGGGUGGUGGAAUUCCGAGUGUAGCGGUGAAAUGCGUAGAUAUUCGGAGGAACACCAGUGGCGAAGGCGACCACCUGGAUCAAUACUGACGCUGAGGCACGAAAGCGUGGGGAGCAAACAGG